AGAGCUUGCCAACCAUUCAAGCUCCCUAUAAACUGCCCAAUGCUAAUCCACUUAUUUUUUGCAGAUGAUGCCAUCUUAUUUUUGAAUGGCAGGAUCCGAAUGUUGCGCGCUCUCCUGAGGUUCAUUAAAGAUUAUGAAAUAGCGUCUGGGCAAAGAGUGAACACCAAUAAAACAUCCUUCAUCCUUCCCAAGAAAGCGUCGUCAACCAAAGGCCGAAAAAUCAACAACAUGACGGGUUCAAACAGGCCUAUCUCCGCUGUACCUAUUUGGGUAUUCCUCUGAAGAAAGGUAAAAUCCAGGCGUCUCUCAUGCUUCCAUUGGUUCAGAAAAUUCUAGCUAAGAUUGCGGGAUGGAAAGCAAGACUCCUCAACCCUGCCGCUAGAAUGAAACAUGCAGGUUGCUUGAAUCAGGACUGGCAAAUUUUUUUGGGGGGAACGCGGAGGGUAAGAUGAAGAAGCAUUAGAUUAGAUGGUCGAAGUUGUGUUUCCCUUUGUAGGAGGGAGGAUUGGGUUUUAGAAGUAUGGAGGACAUCAUGCAAGCAUUCAAGACUAAAAUGAGCAUGAAUUUUUUGAAGGGGCGAUCUCUAUGGGCGAGACUCAUGUCAACUAAGUAUAUUAGGAAGCUUAUCAGGCCUAUGAGCUCGAAUUCGAUGGUCAACUCGACAGUUUGGAAGGA